rnacentral:rRNA from 1 species
UUCCAGACUCCUACGGGAGGCAGCAGUGAGGAAUAUUGGUCAAUGGGCGGGAGCCUGAACCAGCCAUGCCGCGUGAAGGCGAGUGCCCUACGGGCGUUAAACUUCUUCUGUGCGGGAGCAAUAAGGGCCACGCGUGGCCCGAUGAGAGUACCGCACGAAUAAGCAUCGGCUAACUCCGUGCCAGCAGCCGCGGUAAUACGGGGGAUGCGAGCGUUAUCCGGAUUUAUUGGGUUUAAAGGGUGCGUAGGCGGACAGUCAAGUCAGCGGUAAAAAUGCGGUGCUCAACGCCGUCGAGCCGUUGAAACUGGCGUUCUUGAGUGGGCGAGAAGUAUGCGGAAUGCGUGGUGUAGCGGUGAAAUGCAUAGAUAUCACGCAGAACUCCGAUUGCGAAGGCAGCAUACCGGCGCCCUACUGACGCUCAGGUACGAAAGCGUGGGUAUCGAACAGGAUUAGAUACCCGGGUA